GGUUUGUGGCUCAGUGGUACAGCACUCGCCUAGCAUCUAUGAGGCCCUGGGUUUGAUCCUCAGCACCA
rnacentral:tRNA from 1 species